UCCUGGCCUUAUUGUCAGCUGCUUCUUAACUUACACAUGCAAGUGUCAGCACACCCGUGAGAACGCCCUUUACCCCUUCCACAGGAUAAGGAGCUGGUAUCAGGCACAGAAAUCUUGCCCAAAACACCUAGCUUUGCCACGCCCUCAAGGGUAUUCAGCAGUGAUUAACAUUGUUCAUAAGCGCCAGCUUGACCCAGUUAAAGAAAACAGAGCCGGCUAACCCGGUGCCAGCCGCCGCGGCUACACCGUGGGGCCCAAGUUGACAACAUUCGGCGUUAAGCGUGUUUAAAGUGAAAGCCAAAGAUUAGAAUUAAACUUCAACCAAGUUGUGACAUACUUGUUUUUAGGAAGAACAGAAACGAAAGUUAUUCUAAAACAACCACUUGAAUCCACGACAGCUAGGGCACAAACUGGGAUUAGGUACCCCACUAUGCCUAGCCGUAAAAUAUUAACCUACACCUUAUCCGCCAGGGGAAUUACGAGCCCAAGCUUAAAACCCAAAGGACUUGACGGUGUCCCACCCACCUAGAGGAGCCUGUUCUAUAAUCGAUUCCCCCCGAAUACACCUCACCAUUUCUAGCUUUCUCAGCCUGUAUACCUCCGUCGCAAGCUUACCAUGUGAACGUUUUCCUAGUGAGCAGAAAAAUCAUUUCAUAAAUACGUCAGGUCAAGGUGCAGCCCACGAAAUGGGAAGCAAUGGGCUACAAUUUCUACCUUAGAACACACGAAAGACCACAUGCAACUCAGUCAUGAAGGCGGAUUUAGCAGUAAAAAGAAAAUAGAGAGUUCUUUUUAAUCAGGCGCUGGGACGCGUACACACCGCCCGUCACCCUCUUCAAACGCCCACAUCCAGUAUUUAACAUAAAACUGCAUUACAGAAGAGGUAAGUCGUAACACGGUAAGCGUACUGGAAAGUGCGCUUGGAUA
rnacentral:ncRNA from 1 species